AAAUUGAAGAGUUUGAUCAUGGCUCAGAUUGAACGCUGGCGGCAGGCCUAACACAUGCAAGUCGAACGGUAACAGGAAGCAGCUUGCUGUUUCGCUGACGAGUGGCGGACGGGUGAGUAAUGUCUGGGAAACUGCCUGAUGGAGGGGGAUAACUACUGGAAACGGUAGCUAAUACCGCAUAACGUCGCAAGACCAAAGAGGGGGACCUUCGGGCCUCUUGCCAUCGGAUGUGCCCAGAUGGGAUUAGCUAGUAGGUGGGGUAACGGCUCACCUAGGCGACGAUCCCUAGCUGGUCUGA
rnacentral:rRNA from 1 species